CUGGAAAGGCGUGCGAUACAGGGUGACAGCCCCGUACACAAAAAUGCACAUAUUGUGAGCUCGAUGAGUAGGGCGGGACACGUGGUAUCCUGUCUGAAUAUGGGGGGACCAUCCUCCAAGGCUAAAUACUCCUGACUGACCGAUAGUGAACCAGUACCGUGAGGGAAAGGCGAAAAGAACCCCGGCGAGGGGAGUGAAAAAGAACCUGAAACCGUGUACGUACAAGCAGUGGGAGCCUCUUUUAUGGGGUGACUGCGUACCUUUUGUAUAAUGGGUCAGCGACUUAUAUUCUGUAGCAAGGUUAACCGAAUAGGGGAGCCGAAGGGAAACCGAGUCUUAACUGGGCGUUAAGUUGCAGGGUAUAGACCCGAAACCCGGUGAUCUAGCCAUGGGCAGGUUGAAGGUUGGGUAACACUAACUGGAGGACCGAACCGACUAAUGUUGAAAAAUUAGCGGAUGACUUGUGGCUGGGGGUGAAAGGCCAAUCAAACCGGGAGAUAGCUGGUUCUCCCCGAAAGCUAUUUAGGUAGCGCCUCGUGAAUUCAUCUCCGGGGGUAGAGCACUGUUUCGGCAAGGGGGUCAUCCCGACUUACCAACCCGAUGCAAACUGCGAAUACCGGAGAAUGUUAUCACGGGAGACACACGGCGGGUGCUAACGUCCGUCGUGAAGAGGGAAACAACCCAGACCGCCAGCUAAGGUCCCAAAGUCAUGGUUAAGUGGGAAACGAUGUGGGAAGGCCCAGACAGCCAGGAUGUUGGCUUAGAAGCAGCCAUCAUUUAAAGAAAGCGUAAUAGCUCACUGGUCGAGUCGGCCUGCGCGGAAGAUGUAACGGGGCUAAACCAUGCACCGAAGCUGCGGCAGCGACGCUUAUGCGUUGUUGGGUAGGGGAGCGUUCUGUAAGCCUGUGAAGGUGUGCUGUGAGGCAUGCUGGAGGUAUCAGAAGUGCGAAUGCUGACAUAAGUAACGAUAAAGCGGGUGAAAAGCCCGCUCGCCGGAAGACCAAGGGUUCCUGUCCAACGUUAAUCGGGGCAGGGUGAGUCGACCCCUAAGGCGAGGCCGAAAGGCGUAGUCGAUGGGAAACAGGUUAAUAUUCCUGUACUUGGUGUUACUGCGAAGGGGGGACGGAGAAGGCUAUGUUGGCCGGGCGACGGUUGUCCCGGUUUAAGCGUGUAGGCUGGUUUUCCAGGCAAAUCCGGAAAAUCAAGGCUGAGGCGUGAUGACGAGGCACUACGGUGCUGAAGCAACAAAUGCCCUGCUUCCAGGAAAAGCCUCUAAGCAUCAGGUAACAUCAAAUCGUACCCCAAACCGACACAGGUGGUCAGGUAGAGAAUACCAAGGCGCUUGAGAGAACUCGGGUGAAGGAACUAGGCAAAAUGGUGCCGUAACUUCGGGAGAAGGCACGCUGAUAUGUAGGUGAAGUCCCUUGCGGAUGGAGCUGAAAUCAGUCGAAGAUACCAGCUGGCUGCAACUGUUUAUUAAAAACACAGCACUGUGCAAACACGAAAGUGGACGUAUACGGUGUGACGCCUGCCCGGUGCCGGAAGGUUAAUUGAUGGGGUCAGCGCAAGCGAAGCUCUUGAUCGAAGCCCCGGUAAACGGCGGCCGUAACUAUAACGGUCCUAAGGUAGCGAAAUUCCUUGUCGGGUAAGUUCCGACCUGCACGAAUGGCGUAAUGAUGGCCAGGCUGUCUCCACCCGAGACUCAGUGAAAUUGAACUCGCUGUGAAGAUGCAGUGUACCCGCGGCAAGACGGAAAGACCCCGUGAACCUUUACUAUAGCUUGACACUGAACAUUGAGCCUUGAUGUGUAGGAUAGGUGGGAGGCUUUGAAGUGUGGACGCCAGUCUGCAUGGAGCCGACCUUGAAAUACCACCCUUUAAUGUUUGAUGUUCUAACGUGGACCCGUGAUCCGGGUUGCGGACAGUGUCUGGUGGGUAGUUUGACUGGGGCGGUCUCCUCCUAAAGAGUAACGGAGGAGCACGAAGGUUGGCUAAUCCUGGUCGGACAUCAGGAGGUUAGUGCAAUGGCAUAAGCCAGCUUGACUGCGAGCGUGACGGCGCGAGCAGGUGCGAAAGCAGGUCAUAGUGAUCCGGUGGUUCUGAAUGGAAGGGCCAUCGCUCAACGGAUAAAAGGUACUCCGGGGAUAACAGGCUGAUACCGCCCAAGAGUUCAUAUCGACGGCGGUGUUUGGCACCUCGAUGUCGGCUCAUCACAUCCUGGGGCUGAAGUAGGUCCCAAGGGUAUGGCUGUUCGCCAUUUAAAGUGGUACGCGAGCUGGGUUUAGAACGUCGUGAGACAGUUCGGUCCCUAUCUGCCGUGGGCGCUGGAGAACUGAGGGGGGCUGCUCCUAGUACGAGAGGACCGGAGUGGACGCAUCACUGGUGUUCGGGUUGUCAUGCCAAUGGCACUGCCCGGUAGCUAAAUGCGGAAGAGAUAAGUGCUGAAAGCAUCUAAGCACGAAACUUGCC
rnacentral:rRNA from 1 species